GCCGCUGCCGCAGCUGCCCGCGCGGCCCUCACCCUUCAACCUGCUGGCGCCGCCCGCGCCCCGCGACGCGUGGCCGCGGCCUGUCUUCCCGCCGCCGCAGUUCUUCCUGUCGCCCCCGUGCUGAUCGCCGGGUCCUUUCCUCGGUCGCCGCCCGGGAGGGUCUGCGGGCGGGUUUGGAUGCCAUCGCUAAGGCCCUCCUCUGCUUAAGUUUGUGUGGUUUCCUGGAAACUCAGAAGCUGCCUUCCAAGUCAGGAAGUCAAGCUUUCAGGUGAAAUCGAUCUUGGGGUCCCCUGGGCCUGGGUGCACCCGAAGGCAGUAGUGUUGAUGGACAAUCGAUACUGGGCCCCUGACCAGGAGUGUCACAUGCAAGGGCUGGGAAGUCCUCCCCCAGCAGACAGGAAAGCUCCCAGGGGACAGCUCACCUCUAAGGGAAGCAAGACAGACAAUAGGAUUGGAGUAACCCCCCCCCACCUCACCUCCACCUCCACCUAAGCUGAGCUCCGGCUUCCGCCCACCUGAGCCUCCCGCCCCUCGCGCUCCCAGAGAACAAAGGGUCUCUUCUGGGGCACGCCCCCUUUUACAAAUCUGAUGAAAAGAUAAACCUGUCUUCCAAAAAAGAUGCUGAAACCCAUUCCCGGAAACAGCGCACCCACUUGCAGCUAGAAUCCUUUAUAAAUCAAGCCCCCUGGACAGGUGAGGAGGCACCUGGCACCCCCGCCCCUGGGCUGGAGAGACUGCAGGGACCAGGUGGGCACCCCAACCCCACUGGCCGGGUGAGCUCGGGCUUCCUUGGAGGGCCAGGCCGGGUGGAGGUGAGGGGCUCUCCCCAUGAGGCCUCCCACACACCCUGGAGGGUGGAGCCCCCAACUCCCUAUUCACACGGUAAUGCUCAGUUCUUAGCACCUAGGGAGGGGCUUGAAGGAGCUUGUGACCCUCCCCCUCCCCAAAAUGAGGGGCUUCCUUGGUUGGGUCCCAUGAUGUUUCUCAAAGGAAUCUUUGACCCAAGGAGGCCAAGGAGCUUGACCUUCCGUGAUCUGGCCCUGGGGGAAGGGCAGGAGUUGAGCCAGGGUCUGUGACUCCCAGGCUGCGCCCCCACCAGGGGAGUCUUCACGCGGGCCUCAUCCCCUCUAUCCCCUGUGGUGUCUCACUCCUCGAGGGGUCCUGGGGCUGUGCGCCCACCUAGGGCUGGUGCCUCUGUUACUCUCCCCUUGCACCCCCGCACCCCCCAGGCUCCUGUGCUCUGCUCCCCUCCCCCACCUCCGCAGCAUCCCUGGGCCCCCAGACGCCUGCAGCAGCUCCGCUCAGCCCCCGGUUUCAGCAGUGGGGCUGGGGAAGGCACACCUGAGCUGAAGUAGAAGGGGGGGUGGCUUUCUAGGCCGUUGCCUGGGCGAUGCCACCUGAGCUGGGCGCCAGGCACCUGUCGCCAGGGAACAGUGCGGUUGGGGCCCCUCCCUCGGGAGCCACCAGGGCCACUGAACUGAGACGGGAGACAGAUCGGAUUCCGGGGAGAGUCCUGGGCUGGAGGGCAGG